AACAUGCCUGAGAAGAAGGGCCUUUGUAGACCUGCCUUGCUCUACACCUCAAGAGCCAGAUUCUCCAUAGAUCCAACUUUAUAAUGAAAUAGGAACUAAAAUUUUACAGAAGCUUGCUGGGCAAGACAGAAGACAACACACUGGAAAGCCCUGGGGGAGUCAGAAGUCCCCUCCAUCCAAAUCUUCUGGAGGAAUACAGAUCAUUACAUCUAUUUUGCUCAGUGCUUUACAGUGUUUCAGGGAGAUGUAUCAGAAAACGUUUUUUUCCAACAGUUCACAUGGGCAAGGAGAUUGACGUUUUAUCCUGCCCAACAACAGUGAGUUUUGGCCUUUGCCUGGAAUAAAGCCUAACUCAAAAGAGAAGAAUUCCUAACCCAGUGCUCGUCCCAUCACAGAGCUGACAGAACUGGGGAGAAGGGUGUCUGGCACUGCAGUCCUCUGGCAAUUUAUCUCUUGGUCACACUUCUGAACCACACAGACACUGAAGCCAGAGCCAAUACCUCCUUGCAGAACGCAGGAUAAAUCCAGUGUAAGAGAGAUGUUGUCCCAAAAGCUGUGCAAGUUAAAUUGUUACUAUGGGCAAAGUAUUAUCAUCCCUGUUUACAGGUAAGAAAGGAACACAAUUUGGUCCUCUGCCUUUCCUUAAUGAUACUUUAUCUGUAUGACAAAAACCACACAUGUACAAUUCCAGACGCUCAAUAAUGAACAAAAAUAUUAUGUGGCAAUGAGACAAUAAACAAAGAUGAAUAAUCUAUCCAAUUAAAGUUGCCAGUAGAAGUAGGCAGCUACUAUAAAUUAUCCCAAAUCAUAAUGAUGCGUAUUCACUGUGUAUAUCUGUACAAUAUACAUUACAGAGAGACUUUUGGAAAUUUCACUGAAUGUUCUCCAUCACCAUGGAAGUAUCUAUGUAGUAUUCAUUUUCUGCACAGUUUCAGUUUUUGCCUUUGCUUGCACCUGAAAGCUGAAAUGAGUACUCACUCCUGCACAGGAAAAAAAAAAAAAAAAAGAGAGAAA